GGAGCUAUGGCGCAGCGGUAGCGCGUGUGAUUCCAGUCUCAAUUAGGAAAUUCCACAAGGUCGUCCGUUCAAAUCGGGCUAGCUUCA
rnacentral:tRNA from 1 species